GGCGUACGGUACGGGGACUACUGGUUCCCCUCGCCUCGCGGCGGGGCGCGGCCGCGGCGGCAAUGGCGCAUCAAAUUAGGGUUUCGCUCUCACCCUCUUCCUCCUUCUCGGCCCCCACCCGGCGCGGCUCGCAAGGUGCACAUGCCCACUGAUAUUGGAGGAACAUAGAUGGUGAGGAUAAUGGAGUACAUGAAGAAUAAAGUGGGUGACAAGUGUUGGGAAGCGGGAACAUAGUGUUGGAGAGGUCUUUGAGUCCAAAGCACAAUGGUGUCGCGACUCGUGUACAGAUGGUGCAUAUCAUAUGGUGGGGGUGGUGAUGCCGAUUGAAAGCAGUGUGGCAAGUUCGAUGCGGACAUCUAGUACGGCAGCGAUUUUUCUUUUUCAAGAUAGGCACGCCACCGUGCUAGCUUCCUCCCCUCUCCCCUUAGCAGAAUCAUGCAUUUCGUACCGUCCUUGAUGACUUCUCUUAUUCUGCUGCUUAAGCUCUGCUUUGCCAUAUGCUUUAUAGCCUGCUAGAAUUUGAUACCUUGAGAUUUUUCAGAAUAAAGAUUUGCAAGACGUUCCCCAUCC
rnacentral:sRNA from 1 species